rnacentral:rRNA from 1 species
CAGUCGCCGCGGUAACACGUAGGUGGCGAGCGUUGUCCGGAAUUAUUGGGCGUAAAGGGCUCGCAGGCGGUUUCUUAAGUCUGAUGUGAAAGCCCCCGGCUCAACCGGGGAGGGUCAUUGGAAACUGGGAAACUUGAGUGCAGAAGAGGAGAGUGGAAUUCCACGUGUAGCGGUGAAAUGCGUAGAGAUGUGGAGGAACACCAGUGGCGAAGGCGACUCUCUGGUCUGUAACUGACGCUGAGGAGCGAAAGCGUGGGGAGCGAACAGGAUUAGAUACCCGGGUAGUCCCUGUCUCUUAUAC